rnacentral:sRNA from 1 species
AUUCGUGGUUCUUCAGCCGAUGUCCUUCAUCAACAAUCAUG